CCUACGGGUGGCUGCAGUAGGGAAUCUUUCACAAUGGGCGAAAGCCUGAUGGAGCAACGCCGCGUGCAGGAUGAAGGCCUUCGGGUUGUAAACUGCUUUUAUAAGCGAGAAAUAUGAUGGUAACUUAUGAAUAAGGAUCGGCUAACUACGUGCCAGCAGCCGCGGUCAUACGUAGGAUCCGAGCAUUAUCCGGAGUGACUGGGUGUAAAGAGUUGCGUAGGUGGCAUAAUAAGUAGCUAGUGAAAUCUGGUGGCUCAACCAUUCAGACUAUUAGCUAAACUGUUAAGCUCGAGACCGUUAGGGGCAUCUGGAAUUUCUAGUGUAGGAGUGAAAUCCGUAGAUAUUAGAAGGAACACCAAUAGCGUAGGCAGGAUGCUGGGACGGUUCUGACACUAAGGCUCGAAAGUGUGGGUAUCAAACAGGAUUAGAUACCCUUGUAGUC
rnacentral:rRNA from 1 species